ensembl:snRNA U6 U6 spliceosomal RNA
AUGCUUGCUUAGGCAGCAUGUAUGCUAAAAAUUGGAAUAAUACAGAGAAGAUUAGCAUGGCCUUUGUGCAAGGAUGAUAUGCAAAUGCAUGAAGCCUUCCAUGUUAAU